UACGGAGGGUGCUAGCGUUGUUCGGAAUUACUGGGCGUAAAGCGCGCGUAGGCGGUUCGUUCAGUCAGACGUGAAAUUCCUGGGCUCAACCUGGGGGCUGCGUUUGAUACGUGCGGGCUUGAGUUCGGAAGAGGGUCGUGGAAUUCCCAGUGUAGAGGUGAAAUUCGUAGAUAUUGGGAAGAACACCGGUGGCGAAGGCGGCGACCUGGUCCGAUACUGACGCUGAGGCGCGAAAGCGUGGGGAGCAAACAGG
rnacentral:rRNA from 1 species